UACAGAGGCCUCGAGCGUUAGGCGGAAUCACUGGGCUUAAAGCGUGUGUAGGCGGAUUGGUAAAGUACCUUGUGAAAUCCCACAGCUUAACUGUGGAACUGCUCGGUAUACUGCUGAUCUUGAGCCACUCAGGGGCUACCGGAACAAAUGGUGGAGCGGUGAAAUGCGUAGAUAUCAUUUGGAACGCCAAUGGUGAAAACAGGUAGCUGGGGUGUGCUGACGCUGAGACACGAAAGCCAGGGGAGCAAACGGG
rnacentral:rRNA from 1 species